rnacentral:ncRNA from 2 species
GCCACAAGGGAGGGGCAUGGUUCCCACAGGGCGCAAAGCGCCUUGGGAGAAUAGGGAAUGCGGAACGGGCGACCCAAGCAGGGGCCCAUAGCCGCAGCCGCCCCCGCGACUGUAUGCGGUGAGCGACCGCCACACGCCACUGAUGCCCGCCCGGGCGUCGGGAAGGCGGCGGAAGCCUCGACCCGCAAGCCAGGAGACCUGCCAUGCCUACAUCAACCCA